UCUUUAAACUUGGUCAAACUGGUACAAAAUGUUAUUCAUAAAAGUAUGAUCAUAUCCCAAGUACAAAAGUGUAUAAAAUACUGCAACAAUUUAGUUAGGUUGCUAAUAUAUAUACAAUGCAUAAUUAACAUACAACUGCAGUAGCACAGUAUCUCACUUCCCGCAUUUCAGGAAGUUCUUGCCAGCUAUAGCGAUCAAAUUGAAAACAUUCUACAGACUUUAAGUACUUUCCUCUUUCAUCUCGGCCUCCCAUGACAAUCACAGUGUCUCUGACAACUGCAGCCACACAUCCUUUCCUCUUAUACUUCAUGUCUGGUAACAU